rnacentral:rRNA from 1 species
GACGAACGCUGGCGGCGUGCUUAACACAUGCAAGUCGAACGAUGAAGAAGAGAAACGCGAACUUCGGUUCAAAUUUCACUUCGGAUUAGUGGCAGACGGGUGAGUAACGCGUGAGCAACCUACCUCUUACAAAAGGAUAGCCUCGGGAAACCGUGAUUAAUACCAUAUGACACAUUCAUAAGGCAUCUUAAGAAUGUUAAAGCUACGGCGGUAAGAGAUGGGCUCGCGUCCCAUUAGCUAGUUGGUGAGGUAACGGCCCACCAAGGCGACGAUGGGUAACCGGCCUGAGAGGGUGAACGGUCACAUUGGAACUGAGACGCGGUCCAAACUCCUACGGGAGGCAGCAGUGGGGAAUAUUGCACAAUGGAGGGAACUCUGAUGCAGCGACGCCGCGUGAGCGAUGAAGGAAUUCGUUUCGUAAAGCUCUGUUCUAUGGGAAGAAAAGGACUGUACCAUAGGAGAAAGCCCCGGCUAAAUACGUG